rnacentral:miRNA from 1 species
UCGGGCCACCUUCUCCCCGAGGGGAGAAGGGAUAUGCCGCAACGUUUCGACUCCCUCUUCUCCCCUCGGGGAGAAGGUGCCCGUA